GUGGGGAAUCUUCCGCAAUGGACGAAAGUCUGACGGAGCAACGCCGCGUGAACGAUGACGGCCUUCGGGUUGUAAAGUUCUGUUAUACGGGACGAAUGGUACGACGGCCAAUACCCGUCGUAAGUGACGGUACCGUAAGAGAAAGCCACGGCUAACUACGUGCCAGCAGCCGCGGUAAUACGUAGGUGGCAAGCGUUGUCCGGAAUUAUUGGGCGUAAAGGGCGCGCAGGCGGCGUCGUAAGUCGGUCUUAAAAGUGCGGGGCUUAACCCCGUGAGGGGACCGAAACUGCGAUGCUAGAGUAUCGGAGAGGAAAGCGGAAUUCCUAGUGUAGCGGUGAAAUGCGUAGAUAUUAGGAGGAACACCAGUGGCGAAAGCGGCUUUCUGGACGACAACUGACGCUGAGGCGCGAAAGCCAGGGGAGCAAACGGG
rnacentral:rRNA from 1 species